AUUGAACGCUGGCGGCAUGCUUUACACAUGCAAGUCGAACGGUAACAGGUUAAGCCGACGAGUGGCGAACGGGUGAGUAAUGCAUCGGAACGUGCCCGAUCGUGGGGGAUAACGCAGCGAAAGCUGCGCUAAUACCGCAUACGAUCUGAGGAUGAAAGCGGGGGACCGGAAGGCCCCGCGCGAUCGGAGCGGCCGGUGUCAGAUCAGGUCGGUGGUGGGGUAAAGGCUCACCAAGCCAACGAUCUGUAGCUGGGCUGGGCGGACGAGCCGCCACACUGGGACUGGGACACGGCCCAGACUCCAACGGGAGGCAGCAGUGGGGAAGUUUGGACAAUGGGCGAAAGCCUGAUCCAGCAAUGCCGCGUGCAGGAAGAAGGCCUUCGGGUUGUAAACUGCUUUUGUACGGAGCGAAAAGGCCCUCUCUAAUACAGUGGGCUCAUGACGGUACCGUAAGAAUAAGCACCGGCUAACUACGUGCCAGCCGCCGCAGUAA
rnacentral:rRNA from 1 species